GACAGAGGGUGCAAACGUUGCUCGGAAUCACUGGGCGUAAAGGGCGCGUAGGCGGAUGGCACAGUCAGAUGUGAAAUUCCCGGGCUUAACCUGGGGGCUGCAUUUGAUACGUGUGAUCUAGAGUGAGGAAGAGGGUCGUGGAAUUCCCAGUGUAGAGGUGAAAUUCGUAGAUAUUGGGAAGAACACCGGUGGCGAAGGCGGCGACCUGGUCCUUGACUGACGCUGAGGCGCGAAAGCGUGGGGAGCAAACAGG
rnacentral:rRNA from 1 species